CCAGCAGCCACCGUAGCUUCUGUCCUGCUCUGCCACGCCCCUAAGUAGCACCAUGGCGGUUCAUUCAUUAGCCAAAGUGCUGCUCCUAACCAGCUCACCAGAACAACAGAGAGUGUUGCAGCUGUCUACGGGGCAGGUCGCCGGAUCUGAGUCCUCUUCUUCGCGCACUGCAUGCCGUAUUGAGUGGUGCAGCGCACGCUCUCCUUCGUUUGCUUGUCCCGGGAGCACAAGGCCACUGUAACCCUGGCGGCUGUCAUGGGGGCCUUUGUCAUCUGCUGGGGUCCCCUACUUCACCUACAUGGCAUGAGGGCUCAACCCGACCCGCCUGAGAUCGUCCACUAGGUGGUACUGUGACUGGGCUACUUCAACUCGGUGCUGAACCCCAUCCUCUACCCGGCCCUGAACUGACAGAAAGAAUGUGGGGGGAAAAGAUGUUUGCAUGUUUUGCUGUGACGAAUAGGCUGGUGGGGAAUAGUAAAUCAGUGACUGUCUUAGCCCGUUUCCUAGGAUCCCUUUGGGUAGACAGAGAGAGAGAUGAUGAGACAGGCCCAACCAGUCAGGGCUGCUUCAGAAGGCUGGCGAGAGUCACUGGUAACCAGAAGACGUUAGGCUAAAUCUGGAUUUAGGCUCAUUCAACUUGGUCUGACUGCACUGAGUCCAAAGGGUAGUGCUGCCUUUCCUCCCAGCCGUAGUUGCUACGACACAGCAUGAGAAGUGAGAGUUGGCCACUGUCUCUUGAGAUGUCCCACCAUAUAGUUACCUUGUGGACGGCAUGUGUAAAAGAGCUGUGAGGAGGUGUUUUGACGUUGUGGGUGUUUGAUUAUGUUAAACACCCAUGCCAUGACUGACUUUAUAUUAAGAAUAUUUCAGUGGAAUUCAUUUUUUAUUUAUUUUGAUUCAUGUCUGCCUUUCCUAGUAUCCCUGAUAUGUUGGUGUUUGUGACAUGCUUCAAAUCUAAAUACAAGUAAACAGUCAGAGACCAUGGACUUAUGCAAUGCCCUGAAGAUAAUGCACUGAAGGUGCAUUUAGGGACAUGAGAGGGAAACCAAAGAGUACAGAAGUGUUUUUCUUCCCUCUGACAAAAAAAAGCACACCUGAGAAAAGUCACCAAGUGGAGUGGUGGUGGUGGUGGGAGGAGUCAGGUGUUAUGUCACUUGAGGAAAGACAGCCGAGCCAGCGGCUGCGUCAUGUCAGAUGUGGGCCGGAUGCAUGUCAAACUCACCUGAGUGGGCAGCCCUGAUUCAUGCAAAAUUAUCUCCCUAAUUGAUACUAACAUUGGACUGGCAUUAUGAUUGAUGCCCAACCAUGGCAGAAUUGUGAUUUAUUAAAAUGAAUAAUAUUGUAUCAAUAAAUUAUUGGUUUUGAUUACUGAACUGAUUCCACAGGGACAGCAGAACAACGUUGGGUGGAAUGGAGAGCAUAUGAAUUAUUUAUAUACAUCAUAAUGUAUAAAUAUAUUUGUAGUAUGUAUGUAUGUGUAAUAUAUAUUUCAUGUUCCAAAUGUGAAUAAUUUGCCAUAUUAAACAUACCAAUACUCUAUUAACAAACUAUUAAAUCAGAAUGUUUGAGUCUCUUAUUUAGCCUAACUGAGAGCUGUGUCUCUCAGAGCUGUGCUCUGCAAUGAGACGUUCACAGUGGAGACACUGGCUAAUGCCAAAAUUGCUAAUGCCAACAGGUAGGCCUACUAGAACCUUACAUUCAAAUAUAAUUCAUUAUAUAUAUUCAUGCAGUGUAAUACAAUAGAAUGAGAUAAAGAGACAG
ensembl:lncRNA